rnacentral:lncRNA from 1 species
CACAUUUCUCCAUUUUUAUUUUCAUUUCCAUUCUUUUAUUCAUUUUUUUAUUCUGUUUUGUUUUAACUAUUUAAAAAUAUUUUAUUUAUUCAUAAAAAUACCAAAAAAUAUUUUUUACUUUCCUUAAUGUUUUAUUUAAUUUAUUUAAUUUUUAUUUUCAUAUUUUAAUUAAUGUUGAUAUUUUAUUUUAAUUAUUUAUUUCAAG